rnacentral:rRNA from 1 species
CCUGGCUCACGAUGAACGCUAGCUACAGGCUUAACACAUGCAAGUCGAGGGGCAGCAUGGUCUUAGCUUGCUAAGGCCGAUGGCGACCGGCGCACGGGUGAGUAACACGUAUCCAACCUGCCGUCUACUCUUGGACAGCCUUCUGAAAGGAAGAUUAAUACAAGAUGGCAUCAUGAGUCCGCAUGUUCACAUGAUUAAAGGUAUUCCGGUAGACGAUGGGGAUGCGUUCCAUUAGAUAGUAGGCGGGGUAACGGCCCACCUAGUCUUCGAUGGAUAGGGGUUCUGAGAGGAAGGUCCCCCACAUUGGAACUGAGACACGGUCCAAACUCCUACGGGAGGCAGCAGUGAGGAAUAUUGGUCAAUGGGCGAGAGCCUGAACCAGCCAAGUAGCGUGAAGGAUGACUGCCCUAUGGGUUGUAAACUUCUUUUAUAAAGGAAUAAAGUCGGGUAUGGAUACCCGUUUGCAUGUACUUUAUGAAUAAGGAUCGGCUAACUCCGUGCCAGCAGCCGCGGUAAUACGGAGGAUCCGAGCGUUAUCCGGAUUUAUUGGGUUUAAAGGGAGUGUAGAUGGAUGUUUAAGUCAGUUGUGAAAGUUUGCGGCUCAACCGUAAAAUUGCAGUUGAUACUGGAUAUCUUGAGUGCAGUUGAGGCAGGCGGAAUUCGUGGUGUAGCGGUGAAAUGCUUAGAUAUCACGAAGAACUCCGAUUGCGAAGGCAGCCUGCUAAGCUGCAACUGACAUUGAGGCUCGAAAGUGUGGGUAUCAAACAGGAUUAGAUACCCUGGUAGUCCACACGGUAAACGAUGAAUACUCGCUGUUUGCGAUAUACAGCAAGCGGCCAAGCGAAAGCGUUAAGUAUUCCACCUGGGGAGUACGCCGGCAACGGUGAAACUCAAAGGAAUUGACGGGGGCCCGCACAAGCGGAGGAACAUGUGGUUUAAUUCGAUGAUACGCGAGGAACCUUACCCGGGCUUAAAUUGCAGAUGAAUUACGGUGAAAGCCGUAAGCCGCAAGGCAUCUGUGAAGGUGCUGCAUGGUUGUCGUCAGCUCGUGCCGUGAGGUGUCGGCUUAAGUGCCAUAACGAGCGCAACCCUUGUUGUCAGUUACUAACAGGUUCCGCUGAGGACUCUGACAAGACUGCCAUCGUAAGAUGUGAGGAAGGUGGGGAUGACGUCAAAUCAGCACGGCCCUUACGUCCGGGGCUACACACGUGUUACAAUGGGGGGUACAGAGGGCCGCUACCACGCGAGUGGAUGCCAAUCCCAAAAACCUCUCUCAGUUCGGACUGGAGUCUGCAACCCGACUCCACGAAGCUGGAUUCGCUAGUAAUCGCGCAUCAGCCACGGCGCGGUGAAUACGUUCCCGGGCCUUGUACACAC